UACGUAGGGAGCAAGCGUUGUCCGGAAUCAUUGGGCGUAAAGCGCGCGUAGGUGGCCUCAUAAGUCCGCUGUGAAAGUCAAGGGCUCAACCUUUGAAAGCCGGUGGAUACUGUGGGGCUAGAGUACGGAAGAGGCGAGUGGAAUUCCUGGUGUAGCGGUGGAAUGCGCAGAUAUCAGGAGGAACACCAAUAGCGAAGGCAGCUCGCUGGGACGUUACUGACACUGAGGCGCGAAAGCGUGGGGAGCGAACAGG
rnacentral:rRNA from 1 species